rnacentral:rRNA from 1 species
UACGAAGGUGGCUAGCGUUGUUCGGAAUUACUGGGCGUAAAGCGCGCGCAGGCGGCUAUCCAAGUCAGUGGUGAAAGCCCGGAGCUCAACUCCGGAACUGCCAUUGAAACUGUUUAGCUUGAGGAUGAGAGAGGUGAGUGGAAUUCCCAGUGUAGAGGUGAAAUUCGUAGAUAUUGGGAAGAACACCGGUGGCGAAGGCGGCUCACUGGCUCAUUACUGACGCUCAGGCGCGAUAGCGUGGGGAUCAAACAGG